UUCCUACGGGAGGCAGCAGUGGGGAAUAUUGCACAAUGGGGGGAACCCUGAUGCAGCGACGCCGCGUGAGUGAAGAAGUAUUUCGGUAUGUAAAGCUCUGUCAGCGGGGAAGAAGAAAGACGGUACCUGACCAAGAAGCCCCGGCUAACUACGUGCCAGCAGCCGCGGUAAUACGUAGGGGGCAAGCGUUAUCCGGAUUUACUGGGUGUAACGGGAGCGUAGACGGUGAGACAAGUCUGAAGUGAAAGCCCGGGGCUCAACCCCGGG
rnacentral:rRNA from 1 species